rnacentral:lncRNA from 1 species
GGGCGGCCAGGACCGGAGGCCCCGUCUCCAGAGUGGAGGAGGCCAUGAGAACCGUCAAGAAGUUCAUGGACUCAGGAGGACGUCGUGAGCAGUGCUGAGGUCAUGGAAUGUGGGCUGGGACCUUGUGUUUGGUGACAUCCUGAGGACUUGGACGCAGGGUCUUCUCUGCUCCCCGUCACACAGAGGGUGGCACACCCGAUGGGAACUCUCAUUUAUCACCAAACCAAAAGAUGGAGAAACUGACAGAGAAGGGCUGCAAGCAGCUACGGCAGGGCGGUGUGUGGAAGCAGAUGGGAUGGGCAGAUGGAGGCGGGGGCCAGCAUCGCUGCCUUCUUGCCCCUCCCAGAGGACCCCAGGUCCCCAGCUCGGGCGCCCCACCCAGACUGGUAACGCCUGCGUCUGCUGUUUGGCACCGGGAGAUGAAUCACUUGCUUUUCAAAUUAGAAUCUUCCUUGCUGUCAGAAAUGUUUCUUCUCUACAAGGAAAUGGAGGUGAAAUUUUUAUAUGGGAAGGGUAGCUCCCUUGGCGAAUUGCAGGGCAGCGGAGGGCGGGUUCGGGGAGCCGAGUGCAGCCCGAGGUGCAGCUUUCAGGCUGGGAGGAAGCAGCUGCUUCCGGCUCCUCGGGACACGAGACGGGGACAGCGUGUGCUCGGCGGGUGGGAGUGACGCUGCCCACCUGCGGGCGUCUCCUGGGGAACGGGGUAUGUGGGCUGUGUGGCGGUACGGAGCCCAGCGCUGAUAGGAGGCUGCGCUGUCAGGCUGCAUUUGACCAUUUAUGGAACCAGGCCAUGAGGAGGCCCUGAAUUAGAAAGGCAUCCAGACCCAGGCUGCAG